rnacentral:rRNA from 1 species
AUUGAACGCUGGCGGCACGCCUAACACAUGCAAGUCGAGCGGCAGCAUGAUGUGUAGCAAUACACAUUGAUGGCGAGCGGCGGACGGGUGAGGAACACGUAGGAACCUGUCCUUCAGAGGGGGACAACCAAGGGAAACUUUGGCUAAUACCGCGUAAACUCGAAAGAGAAAAGCUGCCUAGUAAUAGGUGGCGCUGAAGGAGGGGCCUGCGUCCGAUUAGCUAGUUGGAGAGGUAAAGGCUCACCAAGGCGAUGAUCGGUAACUGGUCUGAGAGGAC